GGGCCCGCACAAGCGGUGGAGCAUGUGGUUUAAUUCGAUGAUACGCGAGGAACCUUACCAGGGCUUAAAUGUAUUCUGACAGCUUUAGAGAUAGAGUUUUCUUCGGACAGAAUACAAGGUGCUGCAUGGUUGUCGUCAGCUCGUGCCGUGAGGUGUCAGGUUAAGUCCUAUAACGAGCGCAACCCCUAUCGUUAGUUGCCAGCGGGUAAUGCCGGGAACUCUAGCGAAACUGCCGGUGCAAACCGAGAGGAAGGUGGGGAUGACGUCAAAUCAUCACGGCCCUUACGUCCUGGGCUACACACGUGCUACAAUGGCCGGUACAGAGAGCAGCCACUACGCGAGUAGGAGCGAAUCUAUAAAACCGGUCUCAGUUCGGAUCGCAGUCUGCAACUCGACUGCGUGAAGCUGGAAUCGCUAGUAAUCG
rnacentral:rRNA from 1 species